rnacentral:rRNA from 1 species
CCUACGGGUGGCAGCAGUAAGGGAUAUUGGUCAAUGGGGGAAACCCUGAACCAGCAACGCCGCGUGAGGGAAGACGGUUUUCGGAUUGUAAACCUCUGUCCUCUGUGAAGAUAAUGACGGUAGCUAAGGAGCAAGCCACGGCUAACUACGUGCCAGCAGCCGCGGUAAUACGUAGGUGGCAAGCGUUGUCCGGAAUUACUGGGUGUAAAGGGAGCGCAGGCGGGAAGCCAAGUCAGCUGUGAAAACUACGGGCUUAACUUGUAGACUGCAGUUGAAACUGGUUUUCUUGAGUGAAGUAGAGGGUGGCGGAAUUCCGAGUGUAGCGGUGAAAUGCGUAGAUAUUCGGAGGAAAACCGGUGGCGAAGGCGGCCAACUGGGCUUUAACUGACGCUGAGGCUCGAAAGUGUGGGGAGCAAACAGGAUUAGAUACCCCUGUAGUC